rnacentral:lncRNA from 1 species
UACUAAAUUACAUUUGGGCAAUUUUAGCUGAUUCUUUCAUGUAAAAGGUACCAACAUUAAUUAUAGAUCUGGUUGAACACGGAAAGUUAUCAUCUUCCCUUUCAAGCACUAUGAGUGGAUGAAAAUUAUCAUUCAAUUUUCUCACCUAACCAUUUCACGUGAGCUAACACAGAGGUCCAACACUGUUGCACAGAAGGCUAACAGACUAUUUGCAUCAAGGAUACUUAACCUGUGCAGUUAGCAAGAACUAGCCAUUUAAAAAUAUAUUCAACUGUUUUAUAAAUAAAAAUUUUGAUUACUAUAGUUUUGUUCGAACUACUAUCUUUUAAAAUAAAUUAGAUUUUAUUUGAAUUUUUAAAAUAAUGUUAUAAGUUAGAUGUUGCUUUGUUGAUUCUGUGAUUCAAUGUACACUCAGCCAUAUUCCUGUGGGAAAAUAUAAAUCCUAUUGACUUUCUUGGCAUAAGCCAGAGAUUCAUAGUUUCUCUAAGGACUUUAGGUAUGAAGAAAAAAAUAUUAAAAACCACCAAAAUGAAAUGCUAGUGAAGAAAUUAGAAGCCUACUGUAUAAAAUGUAUUUUUAAAAACUUAAGAUAUAUGUGACUUACACUGCCUGUUAAUCUAGUCUCUUUGUGAAAUAACCACAGCAUACUAUUUGUUAAGACUCUGAAACACCAAAUAUUUGUGAUGUUUGUAUAGUACCAUUGUUAUAAUAUGUGAUUUCAAAUGGUAAACAUCUUUGUCAUAAUCACGUGAACCCACCGAAGAAUAAAUUCCUGCUGUUAUGUAAAACCAACUCUCAGAAUUCAGAUUCCCUGCAGCUGCUGUGUCACCAAUAAAUGAGAAUUAAUUGUGAAAAACAGUUUCUAAAGAAUUGAGUUUAUGAUCACUGUGCAU